rnacentral:rRNA from 1 species
GACGAACGCUGGCGGCGUGCUUAACACAUGCAAGUUGAACGAGAAUUUUUUCACUGACUUCUUCGGAAAGACGUGAGAAAAGGAAAGUAGCGAACGGGUGAGUAACACGUGAGAAACCUGCCUUUCACAAAGGGAUAGCCUCGGGAAACCGGGAUUAAUACCUUAUGACACAUUAAUAUCGCAUGAUAUAUAUGUUAAAGAAUUUCGGUGAAAGAUGGUCUCGCGUCUGAUUAGCUAGUUGGUAAGGUAAUGGCUUACCAAGGCGACGAUCAGUAGCCGGAUUGAGAGGUCGAACGGCCACACUGGAACUGAGACACGGUCCAG